ACUUACAAAGACUGAAAAAUUCGGUGAACAAAUAAAAAGAGGAAAAUGGAUACAGGUUCCUUAAUCAUAGUCAUUGUCUUUGUGGGGGUCAGCAUCUUAGGUUGUGCAGCUUGUUAUAUCAUCAAACGGUUAGUGGGAGAUGACUAUGUCAACGAUGGAUAACUAUUAUUCUCUUGCCAAUUAACUAUGUCCUUUUCGUUAGUUUUCAAUCAAGUGUUGUUCAACAUAAUGAUAUUGUUGUAACUAUAUUAUAUUUGCAUAAUUAAAUUAUUGGUAAAGUCUAAGAACUUCCAAAUCUACCACCUA
rnacentral:lncRNA from 1 species